AUUGAACGCUCGCGGGAUGCUUUACACAUGCAAGUCGAACGGCAGCGCGGACUUCGGUCUGGCGGCGAGUGGCGAACGGGUGAGUAAUGUAUCGGAACGUGCCCAGUAGCGGGGGAUAACUACGCGAAAGCGUAGCUAAUACCGCAUACGCCCUACGGGGGAAAGCAGGGGAUCGUAAGACCUUGCACUAUUGGAGCGGCCGAUAUCGGAUUAGCUAGUUGGUGAGGUAACGGCUCACCAAGGCGACGAUCCGUAGCUGGUUUGAGAGGACGACCAGCCACACUGGGACUGAGACCCGGCCCAGACUCCUACGGGAGGCAGCAGUGGGGAAUUUUGGACAAUGGGGGCAACCCUGAUCCAGCCAUCCCGCGUGUGCGAUGAAGGCCUUCGGGUUGUAAAGCACUUUUGGCAGGAAAGAAACGUCGCGGGCUAAUACCCCGUGGAACUGACGGUACCUGCAGAAUAAGCACCGGCUAACUACGUG
rnacentral:rRNA from 1 species